rnacentral:misc_RNA from 1 species
AAGUCGUAACAAGGUUUCCGUAGGUGAACCUGCGGAAGGAUCACUAGCAAAAAGGGGUUGUGUGGCUUUGGCCAGCAUCCUAUACAUUUACGCGUGUAGAGUGUGGCAGAGUAAAGCACUGUGAUAAUAUGUACAACUUUUAACAAUGGAUCUCUUGGCUCUU